UCACAUGUCUGGAGAUCCUUGGAAGACCCAUGAAGCAGUCAGUAUGUGGGGAGAUCUGUUGUCUGAGAAACAUUAUCUUAGAUGCAUGUCUGGAAAUUGAGGUGUUUUUAGGGGAACCCUCAAAACUUUGGUUAAGAAGACACAAUUCUCAGGUGAACACUCUGUGAGAACUCUUGUACUCUCCCAUAUUAUGAUCAAAAUGCCUUUUUGGAGAGUUAAGAAUACAGGUACCAAGCAACAGAAGAUUGAUAUAAAGAUGAUAUGAAUUAACAAUGGUAAUCAUACCAUGAACCUGGCAUCGCUCAACAUAUGCUUUUAGCAUUUUUGUUAUUGUUACAACAUGUUCUGUCAUUUCAGAAAAAAAGAGAAAAUAAAAUCCCUCCAAAUGUA